AUUGAACGCUGGCGGCAGGCUUAACACAUGCAAGUCGCACGAGUGGCGGACGGGUGAGUAAUGCUUGGGAAUCUAGCUUAUGGAGGGGGAUAACUACUGGACCCUGUAGCUAAUACCGCGUACCAUAGGAUUGGCCCAAGUGGGAUUAGGUAGUUGGUGAGGUAAAGGCUCACCAAGCCGACGAUGUCUAGCUGGUCUGCGAGGAUGACCGGCCACACUGGGACUUAGACACGGCCCAGACUCCUAAGAGAGGCAGCAGUGGGGAAUAUUGCGCAAUGGGGGCAACCCUGACGCAGCCAUGCCGCGUGAAUGAAGAAGGCCUUCGGGUUGUAAAGGUCUUUCAGCGGGGAGGCGUUACCCGCAGAAGAAGCACCGGCUAACUCCGUGCCAGCCGCCGCGGUAAUAC
rnacentral:rRNA from 1 species